rnacentral:rRNA from 1 species
AGAGUUUGAUCCUGGCUCAGGAUGAACGCUGGCGGCAUGCUUCAUACAUGCGAGUCGAACGGAGGUAGUAAUAUCUCAGUGGCGACCGGGUGAGUAACACGUAGGUAAUCUACCUCGCAGUGGGGAAUAACUAUUCGAAAGAAUAGCUAAUACCGCAUACAGUCCGCCAAACCAGUGUUUGGUUGACCAAAGGUCUUCGGAUCGCUGCGAGAGGAGCCUGCGGCCCAUCAGCUAGUUGGAGAGGUAACGGCUCACCAAGGCGACGACGGGUAGGGGACCUGAGAGGGUGACCCCCCACACUGGAACUGAAACACGGACCAGACACCUACGGGUGGCAGCAGUAGGGAAUAUUGCGCAAUGGGCGAAAGCUUGACGCAGCAAUGCCGCGUGGACGAUGAAGGCCUUCGGGUUGUAAAGUCUUUUUGGGUGGGACAAGGAAGGAUGGUACCACCAGAAUAAGCAUCGGCUAACUACGUGCCAGCAGCCGCGGUAAUACGUAGGAUGCGUGCGUUAUCCGGAUUUACUGGGCGUAGAGCGCGUGUAGGCGGUUUAAUAAGUCGGGUAUAAAAUCUAGCAGCUCAACUGAUAGUCGCUAUCCGAAACUAUUAGGCUGGAGGACAAGAGAGGCGAGUGGAAUUCUGGGUGUAGUGGUGAAAUGCGUAGAGAUCCAGAGGAACACCUGUGGCGAAAGCGGCUCGCUGGCUUGCUCCUGACGCUGAGACGCGAAGGCGUGGGUAGUGAACGGGAUUAGAAACCCCGGUAAUCCACGCGGUAAACGAUGUUCACUAGGCGUGGGUGGUCUCAACCCCAUCCGUGCCGCAGCCAACGCGAUAAGUGAACCGCCUGGGGAUUACGGCCGCAAGGCUAAAACUCAAAGGAAUUGACGGGGACCCGCACAAGCAGCGGGGCGUGUGGUUUAAUUCGAGGCUACGCGAAGAACCUUACCAAGGUUUGACAUGCAAGUGGUAGUGAAGCGAAAGCAGAACGACCCUUCGGGGAGCUUGCACAGGUGCUGCAUGGCUGUCGUCAGCUCGUGCCGUGAGGUGUCAGGUUAAGUCCUGUAACGAGCGCAACCCUUGUCGUGUGUUAUACGUGUCACACGAGACUGCCGGUAUCAAGCCGGAGGAAGGCGGGGAUGACGUCAAGUCAGCAUGGCCUUUAUAUCUUGGGCUACACACACGCUACAAUGGCUAGGACAAUCGGUAGCGAAGUCGAAAGAUGGAGCCAAUCCAAUAAACUUAGUCUCAGUUCGGAUUGUGGGCUGCAACUCGCCCACAUGAAGCCGGAGUUGCUAGUAAACGCGCGUCAGCACAGUGCGUUGAAUACGUUCCCGGGUCUUGUACACACCGCCCGUCACGUCAUGGGAGCUGCUGACACCUGAAGUCGGUGCUUGAACCGCAAGGACAAAGCCGCCAAAGGUGGGAGUGGUGACUGGGACGAAGUCGAAACAAGGUAGCCGUACCGGAGGGUGCGGCUGG